rnacentral:rRNA from 1 species
CCUACGGGCGGCAGCAGUGGGGAAUAUUGGGCAAUGGGCGCAAGCCUGACCCAGCAACGCCGCGUGAAGGAAGAAGGCUUUCGGGUUGUAAACUUCUUUUCUCAGGGACGAAGCAAGUGACGGUACCUGAGGAAUAAGCCACGGCAAACUUCGCGCCAGCGGCCGCGGUAAUACGUAGGUGGCAAGCGUUAUCCGGAUUUACUGGGUGUAAGGGGCGUGUAGGCGGACGGUUAAGUCAGCGGUAAAAGCCCGGGGCUCAACCCCGGCGAGCCGGUGAAACUGGCUGUCUGGAGAGGUCGAGGGGUAGGCGGAAUGCGCAGUGUAGCGGUGAAAUGCUUAGAUAUUGCGCAGAACUCCGAUUGCGAAGGCAGCAUGCCGGCGGCGAUCUGACGCUGAGGCACGAAAGCGUGGGGAGCGAACAGGAUUAGAUACCCGAGUAGUC